rnacentral:rRNA from 1 species
AGAGUUUGAUCAUGGCUCAGGACGAACGCUGGCGGCGUGCUUAACACAUGCAAGUCGAGCGAUCGGACCGGGAGGGGUAACCCACCCGGUUACGGAGCGGCGAACGGGUGAGUAACACGUGGGCAACCUGCCCCAGGCUCUGGAAUAACCCCCGGAAAACGGGGGCUAAUGCCGGAUACUCUCGGGACCUCACAUGGGGAUCCGAGGAAAGCUCCGACGGCCUGGGAUGGGCCCGCGGCCUAUCAGCUUGUUGGUGGGGUAACGGCCUACCAAGGCGACGACGGGUAGCUGGCGUGAGAGCGUGGCCAGCCACACUGGGACUGAGACACGGCCCAGACUCCUACGGGAGGCAGCAGUGGGGAAUCUUGCACAAUGGGCGAAAGCCUGAUGCAGCGACGCCGCGUGAGGGACGAAGGCCCUCGGGUUGUAAACCUCUUUCGGCAGGGAAGAAAGCCGCAAGGUGACGGUACCUGCAGAAGAAAGCCCCGGCUAACUACGUGCCAGCAGCCGCGGUAAGACGUAGGGGGCGAGCGUUGUCCGGAUUUAUUGGGCGUAAAGCGCGCGUAGGCGGCCCGUUAAGUCGGAUGUGAAAACCCGUGGCUCAACCACGGGGCCUGCAUCCGAUACUGGCGGGCUCGAGGCAGGCAGGGGAGAUCGGAAUUCCUGGUGUAGCGGUGAAAUGCGCAGAUAUCAGGAGGAACACCGGUGGCGAAGGGCGAAUUCAUCUGGGCCCUGUCCCUGACGCUCAGGCGCGAAAGCUAGGGGAGCAAACAGGAUUAGAUACCCCGGUAGUCC